UAGAGUUUGAUCAUGGCUCAGGACGAACGCUGGCGGUGUGCCUAAAACAUGCAAGUCGAACGAGAUCUUCGGAUUUAGUGGCGAACGGCGGAGUAAGACAUGAGGAACGUGCCCUGAAGACUGGGAUAUACAGAAGAAAUUCUGGGUAAUACCGGAUGUGUCCAAUUACUGGCAUCAGUGAUUGGGUAAAUGGUUUUUCGCUUCAGGAGCGCCUCAUGCCCCAUCGGGUAGUUGGUAGGGUAAUGGCCUACCAAGCCGACGACGGGUAGCGGGUCUGAGAGGAUGAUCCGCCCGAUUGGGACUGAGACACGGCCCAAACUCCUACGGGAGGCAGCAGUGGGGAAUAUUGGACAAUGGGCGCAAGCCUGAUGCAGCAACGCCGCGUGAGCGAUGAAGGCCUUCGGGUCGUAAAGCUCUGUCGCAUGGGAAGAUAAUGACGGUACCAUGUGAGGAAGCCCCGGCUAACUACGUGCCAGCAGCCGCGGUAAU
rnacentral:rRNA from 1 species